rnacentral:rRNA from 1 species
AGCAGCCGCGGUAAUUCCAGCUCCAAUAGCGUAUAUUAAAGUUGUUGCAGUUAAAAAGCUCGUAGUUGAAUUUCGGGAUCAGUACGCUGGUCGUGCCUUCGGUAUGCACUGGUUUCACUGAUUCCUCCCUUCUGAAGAACCGUAAUGCCAUUCAGUUGGUGUGGCGGGGAAUCAGGAUUGUUACUUUGAAAAAUUAGAGUGUUUAAAGCAGGCUCGCGCUUGAAUACAUUAGCAUGGAAUAAUGAAAUAGGACGUUUGAUCCUAUUUUGUUGGUUUCUAGGAUUGACGUAAUGAUUAAUAGGGAUAGUUGGGGGCAUUAGUAUUCAAUUGUCAGAGGUGAAAUUCUUGGAUUUAUUGAAGACUAACUACUGCGAAAGCAUUUGCCAAGGAUGUUUUCAUUAAUCAAGAACGAAAGUUAGGGGAUCGAAGACGAUCAGAUACCGUCGUAGUCUUAACCAUAAACUAUGCCGACUAGGGAUCGGAUGAUGUUAAUUUUUAAUGACUCAUUCGGCGUCCG